CAAAUUUAAUAAAGACGAUAAGCUCAAAGCUUUGUAGCCCUGAUGGCCAUAGACCAGCAGAACCUGUGGGGUAAGCGGACCAAAGACCCAGAGGUCAUGUCUCUUCUUAACAACAGAGUGCAGUCUCGUUCAAUUACUGUUAACUUACAAUCAAUAAGAUGACCUACAACACAUGAGUGGAACCUGGCUGCCUCUAUUUUGGAGCAAACGAAUUCUUCUUCCACUAUAGAUUUUUUAAACUUUUCUCCUGCCAGUCAGUUGGUAUCAAUAAUUACCAACAACAACACCGAGAGAGAAAAAUAAGCCUUCCUGCGAUUCUGGAGCAGUCGGAGCCUGGCAGCACGGCAGUUUUUCUGCACUCCCUCACUAGAGAUGGAAUCACUGCGAGAGGUUAACAUAGAGGGGUCACAUGUCACAAUGGAUGGACUAUUCUUCAUUCGCAUGAUUAGCGUCACCUGUCACUAAUCCCUCCAUCCAAGCCUUGGUGAAGUAAAAAGCUGUCAGUCAUAAUAUCAGAUGCGUCCGUCCUCCACCCUCGCCACCUCCGAUCAGCAGCAACGUCACGCUCCUCAUCACAGGAUUGCAGCCACUUCCCUCACCACCACCACCAGCGUCUGGACCACAAGGUGGAAUACAGCCUCGUCUGACCUAAACAUCUCUACCCCUGGACUGUCCUAUUGCUGGAUGGAGUCCAAUCUCCAAAGACUUUGCACAAAUUAUAUUUAUGCAUGUUUCAUAUAUUUGUGCUGAUUGAAUUGCCUUUCUAUAAGAAUCUCAAACAAAAAAAUAAAUAUUACAAGAUUACAGU
ensembl:lncRNA